rnacentral:lncRNA from 1 species
GAAAAAACACGAGAGUGAUGGGGUGAGUAUACAGAAUAUGUUAGGAGGAAACUGCCAUAACCUUUCCUAAUCUCCUGGCUCCCUUCUCAAUUGAAGUCAGAAAAAUCCAAUGGAGAAUGAGCAGUUUUUUCAAGAACAUAUUUCAUCCCUCUCCUGUCUCUAUUCUAGGAAGCACUUUCAGAGGACACACUGAUCGGAAGCAUGAUCCAAGAUGGGUUAGGAAACCUGAGUUCUAAGCUCAGCUCCAUCACUUAACUAGCUCUGUGAUAUGAGCUUGUCCGAGACUCCAUUUCUCAUCUAGAAAUGAAUAGUCACAUGUACUUGAUGAAGAUAACUUCAGAAUCACCAGCAAAUAUGUGAGAGAAAACUCCUUGUGAGCAGAAUGCUGCAUCCACAAAGACAUCACCAUGGUGAUCCUCAUGAAUGGAGGGCAGGCCCUCCGGGGCAGUCCCUAGCCACACGGCCACACUGGGAUGAACAGAGGGUGAGACUGGCUGGCGAUGCUGAUAUUACCAGGGACAGGAAUCCUGCUUUGACUUGUGAGUAAUCUUGGGGAUGCUGAAUCAUGAAGGAGGAAGGAAGCUGAAAAGAAUGGGUGAGGGGUACCCAGGACCUGACAGGUCAAGUAGAAGAGAAUACUGGGAGUGAAUGAAGAGGUAAUGUACUAUCUACUGGAGAACUGGGAAGAUGGACACGAUAUUUUAUUUGCAAGUAUGAAGAGACCUUCCUAUUCCAAGGGAACGUCUUACAGAUGCUUGGACAAUGAAAACUCAGAGACUUGAUCUGCAAUCACUUUACAAGUCGCUGACUGAGGAUUUUCCAUGGUGCUUUAUCAUUGAGGAAAGAUCCUUAUCACAUGUUCUAUUCAAUCACUUGGCCCAUCAAGGUGAUACGGGAAUAUGGUUCCAAAAGUUCUGCAAUUUUAACAGCACUCAGGAAAAAUUAAAAGUGUCAGCAUCUACCGGG